AACAAAGAGAAGCGAAACAGUGAUGUGGAGCAAAACUCAAAAGGACGUCUCAGUUCGGAUUGUAGUCUGCAACUCGACUACAUGAGGCUGGAAUCGCUAGUAAUCGCGAAUCAGAAUGUCGCGGUGAAUACGUUCCCGGGCCUUGUACACACCGCCCGUCAAACCAUGAGAGUUGGCAACACCCGAAGUCGGUAGUCUAACCGCAAGGAGGACGCCGCCGAAGGUGGGGUUGAUGAUUAGGGUUAAGUCGUAACAAGGUACC
rnacentral:rRNA from 1 species